GUGUUUGUUUGUGCGUGACUUGUCGAAAUCCAUUAACAAAAGCAACGAAUUCGAAGCACAUUAUUGAUCGUAUUAAUCGUUCGACGCGAUUACAGGAACACCUAUAAUACUACGCUGGAUCAUCUCUACGAAAUUUUUAAGUAGACCUAGCCGUUCGACCAACGCCACGCACUAAUCCCUGCUUUAUUAGAAUGGGACAAUAUUAAAUGGACAUUGACACGGUGCAUAGGAGGUGCAAGUAUCUAGCCAACUAAACGCAGGUAGAGAAUCCUCCGAAGAGAGCGCGGAAGGAGUAACGAGGGGUACCUAUCAAGCAGGCGGCGGCAGCGGCAGGGGGGGGAGGAGAUGAAGUGCAACUACGGGAUGUCAUUUCAUUCGGCAAUGUCCAUUUAAUUCAGGGAUUAUCGUCGAUGAGAAGGCAGAGUCUGGUGUUCUCUCGCUACACGCAAGAAGUAAGUCGUCGUUUUCGUUAUGAUACGGCCCGGCCUCGAGAAUUCGAUCUGGAUCGUUUCUGAAAGGAGGAUCUAGCCUAGGAAGAAAGGAAGGAAGGAAGGAAGGAAGGAAGGAAGGAAGGAAGGAAGGGGUGGAUCGGUCUCGUUCGUCGUGCAAGCUCGUUGUAAAUAAGACGUAGGAGGUGCAUGACGUUACGUCGACGUAUUUAGACGCGAAAACGCGCGGCUGAUGGAGAUCGACGAAGGAAGAACGAGUCGUUUGCGCGGUACGCGAAAAUUCGGGGAUACGUGCUCCCGUCUCGGCAUGGUUCUCAAUCGAGAUGCACGAGUGGUCGAGUUGGUCGAGCGGACGAAGGGAUUGUGACGCGCGUGCAUCCGCGAAAACGCGCGGGUUAUUUUUUCCCCGAGGUGCUUGCAACCCCGACCGUACCUCGCUGCAGACUGGCGGCCCGGCCGUGGAACAGAGAGUGCAUCGAACAAGAAAGGGAAGAGAAAGGGUUGCACAGGCGAAAAAAAAAAGAAAAAAAAAGGAAACGAAAGAGAAGGAGGAUGGCUGGGGGGUGGCGGAGGGGACCGAGCUGGGCGAGAAACGAAGCGGGAAAGAUAGGCGGUGGCGAGAGAAAGAGAGAGAGAGAGAGGUGAGGAGGGGUGGGUGAAGAGCACUUCGUCGAGUUGCCUAGGUAGCAAUAUGUCAAGAGCUCAACCCCUUUCCACCACCCUCUCGCUCAUCCCUGUGCUGGCGGUCCUAUCCUUUUCGCCCGAACAUUCCGUACGUACGUACGUACGUACGUGUGCGCUAUUUUCCGCAGCCUAAAAAGAGAAAAACUGUUGUCGCUGGUGGUGGUAGUGGUGCUGGUGGUGGUGGUGGUGGUGGUGGUGGAGAUGGAGGAGUCGAUGUGGAGGAACGAGGUGGCCCUCGAGUCGUCUCACCCCUCCUUCCGCCGUUACGCCUGCCGAGGGUGAUAGCGGUGGUGGUGGACCAAAAGGAACGAGAACACGGCGUUGCGUGGCCGCCCGUAACGUAAAUGAUCAUUAGUUUGCCGGCUCGAGGUGAUUUGCAUUAAUUAAUUAGGGGCCAAUUAAUUCGGAUUACUUUAUCACGGGGUCUCCCGUGUGUACGCGAUCCGUGUGUCAACCGACGCCGCCGGAGUCGAGACCAGACAAUGACGACGACGCGGAAAGAUAUCGACGUUGGACGUUGACGUCUCGUUGCUUCGAGUACGACAACCGGAGGAUCGAUACGCUCGUUCAAGCCAAUCCGAUGACUCGUCACGCCGAUAAAUAAAUGCUCGAUUAACGAAUUAUAUUUCGAGCCGAUCGAAAACAAUCCUCGCACCCUUCGAUCGUUGCCGAUCCAUCGGCUUUCUCCGUUUCCUUUUAGAAAGCAUUUCGUUUUGUUGAAAUUUUCAUAUCUAGCUAUCGUUGGAUCGUUCGGUCGAGGAACUUGGUUCGGAUAUAUAGUGGCCGAUAAAUCGACGGAAGAAAGGAAUGAAAGGAAGAGUUUUGAUGGUGUCGAUCGAAACCCUCGGUAAACUAGCGAGGCAAACGACGAUCGCGGCGCCAAGGAGCUGUCGAGCUCUUUCAUUCCUAACGAGAUGUACGCGAAUCGUCGAGCGUAAGAGGAUCUUUUGCAACGCGGAAAGAGAGAGAAUCCCCCGUCUAAAGCGGAGAGGGAGGAGGGGAGGGGGCAUUGAAUGCCGGAAGAGUGAGAAUAUUUCGAAGAGAGGCGGAAAGAGAGGCAAAAGAGGAAGGAAAGGUUUGAAGAGGGGCAAGAUAGUGGACAAGAGUUUCAGUUUUCAGAUAAUAAAGUCUAGUUGGCGAGUGGCAUCGGUGCUCAGACGACCCUUCAAGCCAACUAGCGGCCAUGUCUCCUCACAGACGCGUCGCAUCGACGACGAUCCUUUCAAGCCUUUCCAGCCUGAAAUCAUGCUUAAGCAUAAUAGCAAAGAACGGCCUGGCAAACGAGAGUCCUCUGGCCUCGCGCCUUCCACAUAAUUUCCACGGAUUAUGGUAAUUCGUCCCCUUCGUCUCCAACGAAACGAAGGAAUAAUCGAGGGUAACUGUGUUUCCCACCCCGAUUUAAUUAUGAGAUUUAUGCAAACGCUGAAUGAACUUGGACCAAAGGAGGGAGAGGGAAGGGGGAGAGGGGAGGAGAGGUAGGACGAUUUUUCAGACGACUAACGAGGCAAUCGUCGAUGCGUCUGAUUACGGAAAAAAGUUUGUGGGCGUUGCACACACCUACGUAAAACACCUAAUUACUAUGCAAAGUCUUCGUGAUCGAGCCUCGUUCCCCCUCGUUUCGAAGUUACGCUUUACGGUCUCUCUGAACAACUUCGACCUUUCCGCUUCUCGAUUUUUCGUGGAACAACGUAUACCACCGCCAUGCAUUAGCGUCACGAGCAUCGAAACUUUGCUGCCCGAACUUUUCAACUGUCCUACAUACACGCGUCACGUGAAGACUCCGAUUGCCCGAUUCGGCCAAAAGAGGAAGAAACCCCCUCCCCCCUCACAAGAGGGACGACAGAUGUCUCGACCAGGUACCCGAAACUUGCCAAACUUUCAAUUACCAGCGGUUUAUUUUACGGGAUGCGGACCUCGUUACGUGAAUCACGCGAGCACGCGUUUAAUCAUCCUCAUUCAAUCUCCCUCAACCCCAAAAACCCCAAAAUACAUCAAAAUCGUUUGAAUUAUAUCUUCGAAGACAGUUCCAAUUUCGAAUUUUCCAAGACUGACUUGACUCGAGCUAAAUAAUUAGAGGAAUAAUCGGGAAUAUGAGAAGGAAGGGGUUAGAAUCGUUGAAUUUACGAGACGAUCGAGACAAUUGAAACGGCACGAGGAACGAUUUUCGAACGGUCGAAGGAAGGAAGAAGUCGCGUAGGUGAGGAUCGAUCGUGAGAGGAACGAGAUGGCGAAGAUACAGGCUGGAAUGCUGUGUUGGAACGAAGGAUACUUCCUCGAACACCGUUCGAUUAGAAUUACCGUCAAUCCCAGCCUCCUCUGACAUAAAUACCAGGGAUACACGCGUGCACUCGGUCGAACACGGGCGUACAAUGGAUCGACACAGAACUUUGGAGCCGCCCUCAAGCGUCCCACAGACCUUUGCAGCUAUUCAUUGCUCCGCCUGGACCUUCGAUAAUUCCGAAACGAUCUGGUCAUUAAUCGAAAAUCGUGGUAAUUCGAUAGAUCCACGCGAACUAUGCGAUCGACGUUGUGUGACGUUGCGCCUCGUUGCGCGAAUGGAAACGGAUAAUAACUGGGAGAAUUCUGGGAGAAAGCGAAAAAAAUAAAACGAUUGUUCGAUUAUUAUUACCAAUCUUUUGAGAAAAGACUUCUCCAACUGUUUCACUCGCUGUGCAGUUUUAUUCACUCCCCCGUGAAUCAUAGUAUCGUAUACCCUAAACUUUGUAGUCGUUUCGAUUAAUGAUAGCCUUCCCGAAGAACACUCAAUCCGCGUUAAUUUCAUUAACAGAAAUGCAACGGCCCCGGUGAGCAAUACGCUUCUCCCCUUCCUUUGCUCGCCUUCCACCCACGCGUGCGGCAGCUUCAAAGCCACUCCUUCCCCUCGAUCGACGGCUACCGCCACACCAAAUAUACGCGCACGCACGCACACGCACGCACUCGCGCUCACGCGCGAUCGUUAUGAAACAAAGAACAACGUAAAUUUACCGGCCACCUUGUAUUCCGUUCCCUAUCCGCGACACCCCUCCGUCGGUGUCCUCCCCAUCAUGGACUGUAAUCCUCCCUACGAAACUUAGAUCAAUAUGUUGCGUCACGUUUCGCCCCCUGCACGCCGCCCGACAUCCAUCCUCCGCCACCCACACCUUCGUCCACCCCGCGCUUCAUUCCUGACCCCAGUCCCCUACCCUGAACGUGACGUCACGCAGGGACGCGCCCCAUUCAUAGGCUCUCUCCCACGCAGACGGAACCGCCGAAGGGAAAUCGAAAGAAAGAAGAGAAAGAGGAGGAAGAGAAGAAGGAAAAAUUUGAUCGUGCGUAAUGAUAACAGGGAGGAAAGAGAAGGUUGCAAGGAAAAAAAAUUUGGGAAUUCGUUCGUUCAAAUUUUGAAAUCGAAUUAAUCGAAGAACCAAUUCGUUCUUGGUUAAAAAGCUCGUGUAAUUGAACGAAUCUCGCGUAUCGUGCCUCGCCCCCCUCUCUCUCUCUCUCUUUCUUCCUCUUUCUCUUUCUCUCUUCACAGUCAGCGCUCUCCAAAGAAACGUACGAGCGUUUCGUUCCAGCGGAUCGAUGAUGUCGUAACGCGCGCCGUGACGUUUAUCAUCGUACUUGCGUGUGGCCCUGGCUCGCUCUGUGCGUGUGUAUGUGUGUGUGUGUGUGUAGGAGUUACGCAUUCAUCGGGUGAAACCUGUGACACGCACGUGCCGUCUCUCUUCUUUUCGGCCUGUCCUAUAUUUUUCGGGCGUAUUAAACCGGGAAUUCUCCUCGAAACAUUGGGGAUUGGUUAUCGCGAGAGGAAGUUGGAGAACGAUCGAUGAAUCUCCUGUUCGCGAGCGGAAACGUAAGGAAGGUCUGGCUGGCGCGAGAUACUUCCAACUGGAAGUAUUUCAAAGGGAAAGGCGUUGAAUCGAAGAUUAAAUAUUUUCGAAAGUAUCGUAAAUUGUUGUUCCUCGCGAGGCUCGCUUUAACCGACUGCAUAGCCAAUCUUCCGUUUCUUAAGCCGCGGCAAAGUACGACGAAAGCCAAUAAACUUGCAGGAAGUUGUAAACCGAAGUUCCUCGCGUCUGCCUCUAUUAUUAUACCAUCCCCCGACCGGGAUGAAACGCGCGCGCGUAUUAUAUUUCGCUGUGGAUAUGCAUGUACGUGUGUAUGUAUACGUAGCGGCCGCUCUUAUUUUCUCCUCUCCCCGGAUGCGCCACUUUCAAAAACGAAGUUAAAUUACUCCUCUCGCCUCCCCUCGCCUCGCGUAACGGAAUCGAAUAAAUGGAAUCGUGGCAUGCCCGAAGAAUCGUUGACUAAACUACUGUCACCGUUAAUCGAAUUACGCGAUCCAUUCCCGGAUUCCCCCUCCCCUACCUCUCUCUCUUUUUUUUUAUAUAGAUCCUUCCAGAAAAUUUCUCUCUUAUUCUCCAACGUUGCUUCAAAAUAAUAAACUUCCGAUCAUAGAAAAUUCAUGAGAUUAAUUAUAUAUAUAUAUAUAUAAUCGAGGCGAAGUUUCGACGAUCAAUUGAAUUACCAUCGAAUAAUCUUAUCUUAUAAUCUUGUUCCAACAUUUCGAAAAUAACUUCCGAUACAAUUAAUUAUAACAACAACAAUCCAACAACAAGCUUUCCAUCGUAUCCAUCGUUCCAUUUAUCCAAUUAUCAUCGAUAUCGUUUCAACGAACGAGAGGAUAUCGAAGAAUAUAUAUAUAUAUAUAUAUAUAUAUAUAUAUAUAUAUAUAUAUAGAGAGAGAGAGAGAGAGAGAGAGAGAAAUAAAAUCUUCUCGAGGAAUGCGAAAAGACCAUCCUUCCUCCCUUCCCCUUUGCUCCUCUCCCAUUGACGAUAAAAACCCUAUGGAAAUCGAGCGACCAGGCCGGAGAAAUAGAGGCGCAAAACAGGCGGGAAACGCUAUUCGCUAUUUAACGAUGGCUUUACGCCCACAUACGCUACACGCGCGCGCGUCCGCGAUAAGGGUUAAUUGGUAUAGCACGGAGAAAGGGGGCCGUCGGGGGUUGGUGAGAGUUGGGCAAAGGAUGGAGGGGGCAGAGUGCCGCUAUAGGUCAAUUAUUUCCACGUAUUUCAAGCGAUACGCGGCCGUUAUCGUCUUUCCCGAUACCCGACCGCUCUUAAUUGUUUCCAGGAAGUUGACAUUUCCUGGCCUGCACUUUUAACGCCGGCCACACCGAGGGGAGAUGAGGGGAUGGGGAGGGAGAGAGGAUAUGUGUGUGGAGUCGCGACAAAGACGUGUUUCGAAAUCUUCCACCCCCUCCUCUUAGAGAAUAAAUGGGCCGCCCUCAAGACGCGAUAAAUCACGGUGGCGCGGAUCCAAUUUUCCGCGAACAUCGAGAGGAUGGAACUGCGUGAAAUCGCUGGAAUCUUCGAUAACGCGAGAACGAGACCUUCCUACGCCAUUAAACGCCUCUUCCACCGCUAUUGCCUUCGACAUCGAUCUAAUUUUUCAACGUUUCUUCGUUUUUCCCUCUUACCUUUCCUCCCUCCCUUCUUAUUAUUAUUAUUAUUAUUAUUCUCUAUUGAGCAAAAAAUUUCGUCUCCAUCUUUUGGCUAGUUUAGGAAAUUUGGAAAACUGGAAAUGGAAAAAAUGUGUAAAUCUUUUUCGAAUUAACCGGAUCUCUAUUUUAUUUAGAGAUAUUCGUGCAAUGCGAGAGUUCCACUGAGAAAUAUAUGGCGAGAUAAUAGUUCAAAGGAGAAUCAUGGUCUGGUUCCUGGCGCACUCAAAAUCCCAUUGAUCAGAGUUAUCAGUGGGAAGGGUCGAGCCAGUGACUCUGCUUUCGGACCGGUUUUCACGCCAUCGAUUCGCGUGGGGAACCUUCGCGUGCACGAUCGACAAUCUCGUUUAUCGACCUGUGAUGACGUCUCUCCUCUCCUACUCUCGCGCCGAUUAUUUCCUAGAAGUUUAAACGACUCCUCUCGCGUUAUCGUUCAAACGAUGCCGCAUACGGGAAAAUUCAUUGGAUCGAUCGAAAAAAUUGAACGAUCGAUUUGCAAUUAAGAGGAUGAUUCAAAUAUAAUAUUCGUAUCUAAGGAGAAUUUAUUUGGAUUUUUGAGGGGCGUGAAAAGAACGCGAGCCUUGAAAUGUCACGAGAGGCAAGGUUCCGUUUCCGGUGCUCGCGUACAGAAUGCACCGUCACAGAAGAUUUUCCUUUGAUCCCUUCAUUUAGGUAAUGAAUCUUUUUUUUUUUUGGUCGCACUAGAUCUGACCGGCGACAAAUAAAAUUUGUGAUCCCUCAAAGCGUAGAUGUUCACUAAAUUUAAGUAGCUUCCCUGUAAUUAAAAGAAAAAUAACGGAUUAUCCUGUCAUCUUGCGCUUUGAAACUCUUUUUAACAUCCAAUUAAAAAAAAAAAAAAAGAAAGAAAAAGUAACGCGUUUAAAACUUUGAAAAAUCGGGGAUAAUUUCGAGAAAAUACGAAGACGCGAAUAUAUUUCGUCGAUUGCGCGAUAUCGAUGCACAAAUAUCGCGUUGGAAACUUUAAAGGACAGCCGGUGUGAUGCGAGAUAACCGAUAUUCAGGCCAGGUGUAUCCGUGGAAAGUUCAACGACAGCGGAUCGAAUAGUGGAAAGUUGAAGGCAAUUAGUCAGUCUGAAUUCCACCCUUGAGCGUCGGGGCGUGAAACGCGAGCGUAAAAGAAAAAAAACAGUGGGGAAUUAGACCGAGGAGAGGGCUCGAUUCCUCCGGAUAAUAUAUCUUGCCGUUUCUUUCCCGAUCUCUCCCCUACCUUGGUCGACCGUAAAGUGACCUUUCCGCCGCAGCGUGCGCAGCACCGGAUGCUGCAGUAGUUGCAGAUGUGACCGACGCCGUCGGCGAACUUGGUUUUCAGGCAUAUGUGACACGUGGCGUGCAACUCCACUCCCGCCUUCUUGUGUUUCUCCGAGCAGGCACGUAUCCUUUCCUCGAGGAUCUUCACCUCAUCCUGCUUCCGUCUGCAAACGAUAAGGAAGAAUAAUUAAUCCAUCUUUGAACGAAUGAAAUGAAAACCAAGGAUCUAAUCUCGAAGGAGAAGAGAUCGAUAGAUUUGAGAACGUUAACGAUGAAAUCGUAUUCCGACAGUACGAUCGAUUUAAGAGCAUUAUUUCAUCGAGUUUCUUUCAUUCGAAACACGGGAAUGGAUGAAACAAGAGGAGGAGAUCAAAUUUAGAAACAGUCGACGUCGUAUGCAAAUUACAGACUAAACUAGACGCACGUUGCAUUCGAGUAGGAAUUUGUCGAAAAAGAAGAAGAGAUGCGAAGACGUGUUCGUAUCCAGCCUCGUAUAUAAAUAUGUAAACGCGUUUGUAUACGUGCGUGCUCAGUUGCAUUCUAACAACCCUUUCUUGCGUAGCUUCGAGAAUGGAUAGGAAGUGGAAAGGAGGAAAACAGAGAGGAGAAAAAGCCAGCUUCUUCGAGCGUGGGAGGUUGGUUUCAGAAGAAUCGAGCCGCCAUUAGACUCCUCGAUAAUUGCGGAUCCUCAAUUUUCGGAGAAUUCGAACAAAGCUAGGAUACAGAGAUCUGUUUCUUUCUCCCUCUCCGUCUCCUGGCCCACCAUUAAAAUUCAACCGACAAUCGUCCUUCGUCGAGCCGAGAUUUUUCUGCAAAUUGCAGCAACGGCGUCGCUCCACUUUUAUCUGCCUCUCCUCCUCCCCCUUCCCGCCGUGAUUUCGUUUAUUAGCCAACAGCUACUUAAUUCCAGCCGCGUAACUAAUUCGCAGCGCGACGUUUUUUCAAGCCUCGCUCGUUUCCGCUUUCACCGAUGAUUUUCGAGAUUCAACAUUUUCGAGACCGAAACAAUCAUCGAUUUUCAUCCUCCCAACCGUUCUCCGAGACUUUGCUAACUCUCCGAUAUCGAGCGGAGAAAGGACGUAUUAUUGUAGAUAUCGAGAAUCAUCGGCUCGAACAAACAAAGAGAAUAGAAGAUUAAGUUCGAUAAGUUCAAUCCUCUGCGAAUGCAUUCUCGUCUUAUUGUGUCAUACACUUUAGAAACUAGAUGUCGACUAUAGUCUUCCUAUUUAUGCAUCGUAUAAACGAUCGUAGACUCCUGUCGGCGGAGAUAACAGGUGGCAAAGAAAUUUUAUUGCUAUCAAUCCGAUGGACGAUGCAGGGAUAUAAUCUGAUCGAUGAAAAAUACGCGCUUUCCACCGUGUUCUAUGCCUAUCUCAUUCGCGAACAAUUCCUUAUUAAACGAUAUUCGAGGAAAGGGACUUUGUUAACAUAUUCAAGAUUUCAAGAAGUGGUGGAAUUAUUCGCGAAUGAAAGGAAGAAGCAAAAUGAUAAUUCGUUCGAUUAAUGGGGGAAAUUAUGGGAAUAUUGUGAGUACUUACAGUUAGGAGGGAAUGGUCAGACUUUAAUACCGGAGAGUCGAUUUAUCGGCAAGGUGAUUGAACUGAAAUGGAAUGUGACCGAUGUCAUCGAUUUAUUCCAUCUACACCCAGUUUAGUACGUUUUCGUCGUCGAGAAAUUCUGAUACGCUCAAUCUGUACGUAGUAAUUUUCCAUCUCGUAUCGCUCCUCCCUCCUUUCCAAAUAACUAAUUUUAACGAACGUGCGACUCGAUCACGAGAGAAUUUUCUUUGAGAAGAGCGGUACUCGUAAACAAUGUUAACCACUCUAAUCACAAGGGAUGAAGAUGACGAGCAGGCCCGGGCAAGAGAUAGAUCUGCAAGCCAAGUAGGUUAGGGCGAAAGAUAGACGAGAUGGAGGAAAAUAAAAGACAGGAAUACUUGGCACGUGCUCCACCAUCGCCACAAAGUCUCCGGAUCGCGUAUACGAGGA